rnacentral:rRNA from 1 species
CAAGGGUGAGUACAGUGGCGUACGGGUAAGUAACACGUGGAUCAUCUACCCUCUUGUGGGGAAUACCGCUGGGAAACCGGUGACAAUACCGCAUAAGCUCGAGAGAGGAAAGCCGAAAGGCGCAGGAGGAGGAGUCCGCGGCUGAUUAGCUAGUUGGUGAGGUAAUGGCUCACCAAGGCUUAGAUCAGUAGCCGGCCUGAGAGGGCACACGGCCACACUGGCACUGAAACACGGGCCAGACUCCUACGGGAGGCAGCAGUGGGGAAUCUUGCACAAUGGGGGAAACCCUGAUGCAGCGACGCCGCGUGAGCGAUGAAGCCCUUCGGGGUGUAAAGCUCUUUCGGCAGGNAAGAUAAUGACGGUACCUGCAGAAGCAGCUGCGGCUAACUACGUGCCAGCAGCCGCGGUAAUACGUAGGCAGCAA